rnacentral:rRNA from 1 species
GUCUUUAUGCUUAUUAUAUAAGGUUAGUCCUGCUCUAUGUAUAAUUAAUGGCCGCAGUAUCUUGACUGUGCUAAGGUAGCGUAAUAAAUAGGUUAUUAAUUGUAAUCCAGUAUGAAAGGUUUGACGUAAGAAUAACUGUCUUUUUAUUUAAUUGAAAUUAAAUUAUCAGUGAAAAUGCUGGUAUUUUUUGAAAAGACGAGAAGACCCUAUUAAGUUUUACAUUUAUAUUUAGUUUUUAGUAUUUUAAUAAUUUAUUAAUGUUUAAUUGGGGCGAUUAUUAAUAUGUAAACAUUAUAUUGAUUAUUUUAAUAAAAGUUAGAGAACCAUAAAUUAUGGCUAUUAGAACAAAUUACUAUAGGGUUAACAGCAUAAUUAUAUUGUUGAGACCUUAUUAAUAAUAUAGAUUAUGACCUCGAUGUUGGAUCAAGAAUGCCUAAUAGGUGCAGAAGCUUAUUAAGGGGGUCUGUUCGACCCUUAAAAUCUUACGUGAUCUGAGU